ensembl:snRNA U6 U6 spliceosomal RNA
AUGCUGUCUGGAGCAGCACAUAUACUAAAAUAGGAAUGAUACAGAGAUUAGCAUGGCCCCUGAGCAAGGAUGACACAUAAAUUUGUGAAACGUUCCAUAGUUUU